rfam:Bacillus azotoformans LMG 9581 contig116, whole genome shotgun sequence.
AUUAUCCUGCAUUGUACGUGACUCAUUCUUGUUUAAAACCGUACUAUUUUUUCGGGAUUCCAAUAUGAAUUGACUGAUGCCAUGCCUGUAUUUCAGGAUCGCAGACAGGUCAAACUGCGGAAACCCACCUGCGAGAGCGGGUUUAUAAAACAAUUUGGGAUAAGGCAUAGGUGGGACUCAA